rnacentral:rRNA from 1 species
GACGAACGCUGGCGGCGUGCUUAACACAUGCAAGUCGAACGGUAAGGCCCCUUCGGGGGUACACGAGUGGCGAACGGGUGAGUAACACGUGAGCAACCUGCCCCUGACACUGGAAUAACAGUUGGAAACAGCUGCUAAUACCGGGUAUGACUCGCCUCGGCAUCGAGGCGGGUGGAAAGCCCUGGCGGUCAGGGAUGGGCUCGCGGCCUAUCAGCUUGUUGGUGAGGUAACGGCUCACCAAGGCUUCGACGGGUAGCCGGCCUGAGAGGGCGACCGGCCACACUGGGACUGAGAUACGGCCCAGACUCCUACGGGAGGCAGCAGUGGGGAAUAUUGCACAAUGGGCGAAAGCCUGAUGCAGCAACGCCGCGUGCGGGAUGACGGCCUUCGGGUUGUAAACCGCUUUCAGUAGGGACGAAGCGCAAGUGACGGUACCUACGUAAGAAGCACCGGCCAACUACGUGCCAGCAGCCGCGGUGAUACGUAGGGUGCGAGCGUUGUCCGGAAUUAUCGGGCGUAAAGGGCUUGUAGGCGGUUCGUCACGUCGAAAGUGAAAACUCAGGGCUCAACCCUGAGCCUGCUUUCGAUACGGGCGAACUAGAGGUAUGCAGGGGGGAACGGAAUCCUGGUGGAGCGGUGGAAUGCGCAGAUAUCAGGAGGAACACCGGUGGCGAAGGCGGUUCUCUGGGCAUUACCUGACGCUGAGAAGCGAAAGCGUGGGGAGCAAACAGGCUUAGAUACCCUGGUAGUCCACGCCGUAAACGGUGGGCACUAGGUGUGGGGGACAUUCCACGUUCUCCGUGCCGAAGCUAACGCAUUAAGUGCCCCGCCUGGGGAGUACGGCCGCAAGGCUAAAACUCAAAGGAAUUGACGGGGGCCCGCACAAGCGGCGGAGCAUGCGGAUUAAUUCGAUGCAACGCGAAGAACCUUACCUGGGUUUGACAUAUACCGGAAAGCUGCAGAGAUGUAGCCCCCGCAAGGUCGGUAUACAGGUGGUGCAUGGCUGUCGUCAGCUCGUGUCGUGAGAUGUUGGGUUAAGUCCCGCAACGAGCGCAACCCUCGUCCUAUGUUGCCAGCGGAUAAUGCCGGGGACUCAUAGGAGACUGCCGGGGUCAACUCGGAGGAAGGUGGGGAUGACGUCAAGUCAUCAUGCCCCUUAUGUCCAGGGCUUCACGCAUGCUACAAUGGCUGGUACAAAGGGCUGCAAAACCGUAAGGUCAAGCGAAUCCCAAAAAGCCAGCCUCAGUUCGGAUUGGGGUCUGCAACUCGACCCCAUGAAGUCGGAGUCGCUAGUAAUCGCAGAUCAGCAACGCUGCGGUGAAUACGUUCCCGGGCCUUGUACA